GUCAAUAGUAUAUAGUUAAACAUAUUUCAAAUAUUGACAUCGUACGUAGAUAAAUACACAAACAUCCUUUAUUAACACAGUUGGCACCGUUUGAAUGGGAGAAGCUUUAGCAUCUCCUUGUCUUUACAUCCAUCUCUUUUAAUACAAUAAUGUGCUUUCUACUUUAAAUCAGGCCACAUGUGCACAUUCCUCAAAGCAGCAGAAUCAAAACUUAAGACGUAAAAUAAAGUGAUCUUUAUAAGAUUCAGUGAUCUUGUUAGAAAUAAUUAGAGCUUUAAGGAAAAUUAAAUCUAUAUAUAAAAUGGUAAUGUGCAAGUGCUCCUCUCAGUUUCACUGGAAACAGAAGAGUCACACACAAAAAGUAAGAAUUUAUAAUGUACCUCGAAAAGGAAAGAGCUCACAAUAACUGCUCUGUUUAUUCACGUUGGAGUGCAAAUAGUUGAAAUAAAGUAAUAACCGAUGGGUUAAUUAAGUAAUGGUUUCAGCAUAAGAGCAGUGGUGUCCUCAUCCUCCAAAGGGCUUCGCCCUGAUGUUGCUUCUGUAAAUUCAGAAUACUUUAACCUUUCACCUCUCCAUCGUGCGGUGAGCCGUGACCUUUGCUCUCUUCCCCCCAGACUCCAUUGAGAAAAACAUAAAUUUAACAUCCAAGAGCGGAACGGGGUGCUGCUCCGCCGUCAAAUGCAUCCGUUUGCGGGUUCAUGUCGUCACGUGACUUUGGCGAGCCUGAACGAACCCUGUUUAAAUGCCAAAGUCACACGACAACACAAACUCACUGACCGGUGGAGGCGGCGGUCGAGCAGCAGCUCCUGUGUCCUCAGAGCUUAAAUUCAUAUUAAUCUCAAUGGAGUCUGGGAGGAUAAACUCACACGGCACAGAACCUGUGCUUCAGACCUCACAACGGUGAUCAGUGUGUUCUUCAUAUUGAGGCCUCCUCCUCCUCCUGCUCCUCCUGUUAUCUCCAGCCCGGCCGGGAGGACUUGCCUGAGUCCCUCGGGUGGGAGGAGGACCUGUCGGAGAAGGCGCUGCUGUCGCUCCGCCGGUGGCCUUUAGGGGGCGGCAGCGGGUCGUGGAGCGGCGACCGAGGAGGCGCACUGAUACUGUUGGACCUCCGCGAGGAGGAGGAGGAGGAGUUCUUGGGGGAGGAUUUAGUGGAGGAGCCGGUGUGGGGUGAACGAGGAGGAGGAGGAGGAGGAGUGAGCGUGGUGUUGGUUCGUCUGAAAGAAGAGGAGGCGGUGCUUCUGGCAAAACUAGGAAGCAGCAGUUGCUGAAGGAGUAGUGGCUUUGUGCAAAGGGGUAACAGGAGCACUGACGCUGCCGCCUCCUCCGCCUCCUCCGCCUCCUCCGCCUCCUCCGCCUCCUCCGACUCCUCCGACUCCUCCGACUCCUCCGACUCCUCCGGAGAGCGAGCGCAGCGUGGAGCGACACAACUUCUCCUCCGGCUGUGGUCGGGGCCUCGCUGAGGGCUUUCUGAUGGACGGCCUCCUCUGGGCCUCCUGCUUCUGCUCUCGAGCUGUCGGGACCUCCUGGUCCGCCCGGUGCCUGGGGGGGCGGGACGCCGCCGCGUUCCCGCUGGGGUCGGGGGCCGAGGGCCGCGUCAAGGCCCGCUGGCGCCCCGAGGGCUCCCCGGGGAGCCUGCUGGUCCUGGAGAUGGACACCACGCGCCUCAUGCUCUGCGACUCGGUGACGGUGAGGAUGCGGACAGGCGGGUUCUUGUUGCCGGGGGCGACGGCGUCCUUCGUCCCGGCGGGGCGAGUUCUGGGGGUCGGGAGGCUCCUGGCGGACGAUCUGGACGGAUUUGCUGAUUCUGCCUCUCGUUUGGAGGAGGAAGCGCUGAGAGGCGGCGGACGCCACAUCGGGGAGGAGGCGGGGCGGGACGGGUUGCCCGGGCGGGGGACGGGCACCGGCUGGCUGCUGAUGGGUUCAGGCGCUGGCUUGUCAUUGGCCGGCGCGAGCUCG
ensembl:lncRNA